rnacentral:snoRNA from 15 species
UUUGUAUGAUGACAAAACCUUCCAUUAAGAACGGCCUUCUGAAUAACCAUGUCGAUUCAAUCAAUAUAUCAAGCUCAACAGUCUGACUC